UACGGGGGGGGCAAGCGUUGUUCGGAAUUACUGGGCGUAAAGGGCUCGUAGGCGGCCAACUAAGUCAGACGUGAAAUCCCUCGGCUUAACCGGGGAACUGCGUCUGAUACUGGAUGGCUUGAGUUCGGGAGAGGGAUGCGGAAUUCCAGGUGUAGCGGUGAAAUGCGUAGAGAUCAGGAGGAACACCCGUGGCGAAGGCGGCACGCUGGGCCGGCCCUGACGCUGAGGCGCGAAAGCGUGGGGAGCGAACGGG
rnacentral:rRNA from 1 species